rnacentral:rRNA from 1 species
CCUACGGGGGGCAGCAGUGGGGAAUCUUGCGCAAUGGGCGAAAGCCUGACGCAGCCAUGCCGCGUGAAUGAUGAAGGUCUUAGGAUUGUAAAAUUCUUUCACCGGGGACGAUAAUGACGGUACCCGGAGAAGAAGCCCCGGCUAACUUCGUGCCAGCAGCCGCGGUAAUACGAAGGGGGCUAGCGUUGCUCGGAAUUACUGGGCGUAAAGGGCGCGUAGGCGGAUCGUUAAGUCAGAGGUGAAAUCCCAGGGCUCAACCCUGGAACUGCCUUUGAUACUGGCGAUCUUGAGUAUGAGAGAGGUAUGUGGAACUCCGAGUGUAGAGGUGAAAUUCGUAGAUAUUCGGAAGAACACCAGUGGCGAAGGCGACAUACUGGCUCAUUACUGACGCUGAGGCGCGAAAGCGUGGGG